rnacentral:rRNA from 1 species
AGCGAACGCUGGCGGCGUGCCUAACACAUGCAAGUCGAACGUGAAAGGGGGCAACCCUGAGUAAAGUGGCGUACGGGUGAGUAAUGCAUAGGUAAUCUACCUUAAAAUCUGGAAUAACCUGCCGAAAGGCGGGCUAAUACUGGAUAGAGCGAGGAAUCCGUAAUUGGGUUUUUCGGGAAAGGGAGCUCGCAAGGGCCCUCGUUUUAAGAUGAGCCUAUGUUCCAUUAGUUAGUUGGUGAGGUAACGGCUCACCAAGACGAUGAUGGAUAGCUGGUCUGAGAGGAUGAUCAGCCACACUGGAACUGAAACACGGUCCAGACUCCUACGGGUGGCAG